rnacentral:rRNA from 1 species
GGCUCAGGAUGAACGCUAGCGGCAGGCUUAACACAUGCAAGUCGAGGGGCAGCGCGAUGUAGCAAUACAUUGGCGGCGACCGGCGCACGGGUGCGUAACACGUAUGGAACUUACCCUUUACUGGGAGAUAGCCCGGAGAAAUCCGGAUUAAUAUCCCAUAAUAUACGAAGUGGCAUCACUUUGUUUUGAAAGCUCCGGCGGUAAAGGAUGGCCAUGCGCACGAUUAGCUAGUAGGUGAGGUAACGGCUCACCUAGGCUACGAUCGUUAGGGGGCCUGAGAGGGUUAUCCCCCACACUGGUACUGAGACACGGACCAGACUCCUACGGGAGGCAGCAGUGAGGAAUAUUGCGCAAUGGAGGCAACUCUGACGCAGCCAUGCCGCGUGCAGGAAGAAGGCGCUACGCGUCGUAAACUGCUUUUACCAGGGAAGAAACCCCCAGACGUGUCUGGGGUUGACGGUACCUGAGGAAUAAGCACCGGCUAACUUCGUG